rnacentral:rRNA from 1 species
GAUCAACGCUGGCGGCGUGCAUAACACAUGCAAGUCGAACGAUGAAGCUUAAACGAUUUCUUCGGAAUGAACUUAAUUGGAUUAGUGGCGGACGGGUGAGUAACGCGUGAGUAACCUGCCUUGUACAAGGGGAUAGCCGUUGGAAACGACGAAUAAUACCCUAUGACAUCAAAUAAUCGCAUGAUAAUUUGAUCAAAGAUUUAUCGGUAUAAGAUGGACUCGCGUCUGAUUAGCUAGUUGGUAGAGUAAAAGCCUACCAAGGCAACGAUCAGUAGCCGGCUUGAGAGAGUGGACGGCCACAUUGGGACUGAGACACGGCCCAGACUCCUACGGGAGGCAGCAGUGGGGAAUUUUGCACAAUGGGGGAAACCCUGAUGCAGCGACGCCGCGUGAUUUAGAAGGCCUUCGGGUUGUAAAAAUCUUUUGUAUGGGAAGAAAAUGACAGUACCAUACGAAUAAGGACCGGCUAAUUACGUG